rnacentral:misc_RNA from 1 species
UGUCUUCACAUGGCUCCUCUUAUCACCAUCAACCCUGUGCGCCUCCUCUCUGAUGCCGCUUUCUCGCCCUGUUCGUGCAUGAGUUUGUGUGAGUCUGUCUCCGUCUCUCUCUCUCUCUGCACGUUGGCCUGGCCUAUGCAUGUCGCCUCAUGAGUUAUUGCUCUUUACGUAUGCGCCGUAUCGUUCCAGGCGAGUGUGUGCAAGUGUUGUGUGCCCGUCUUUUGCCCUUCUCUCCCCACCCCCGCCCUUUGUUCUUCAUUGUCUUUUCUCUGCUCACGUCUACCUCUCCGUGGAAAGAGGUUGACGACGCGUGUAGAUGCCGAUAUACAUACAUGUAUGCGUGUGCGCGCGCCUAAGUUUAUUGUGCAGGACCUACGUUGUAUCGUCAUCUCACUUGUCCCUCCUUCUUUAUGGCGGUGAUGCGGUAUAUGAGCCACAUUCUCAUCUGCUGCCUCACACCUCACAUGUACUGUCAUGGUCAUCGCCUCUCUUGUUCUUCAAUGUUCUUUGCUGUUUCCUGCGCCUGUGUGGUCUCGUGUGCUCCCCCUCCCCCUUCUCUUCUUCCUGAUGGGUGCUCUGUUAUUAUGGCCCUCGCUCCUUGUCCCUCGUCCUUCCCCCUCCCCCUCCUCGCUCCUCUCUUCCACUCGUUGGCUUUUUGUACACUCACCACGUACGCCUUCACGCACGCGCAACAAGGAGAGUACAGAGCGAAGGAAAGGCCGAAGAUGUAUUGUGUGCCGAAACAAAAAAAAGCGAUGAGGGAGCGGCGGCUGAGGGACAGCAACGUGAAAAGUGAUCGAUGCAUGCACGACUACGCAGCUGCUGCUCCCCAUCCCCCUCCCUCUUGAAAGUGAUCCGCACGCAGACGUGUGCACCUGCAUGCCCUUGAGCGGUCCUCUUCUCGCACGUUGGCAUUCCUAUCUUUUCCCCUUCUUCUUUUGUGUGCCACCGUGUGUGCUUGGACUGUGUGUUGUAUGUCUGCAUGUGUGUCCGCCAACCUGAGGUUGAUGUCUCCUUGCCGGUUUUUCCUGAUCUCUUUCUCCAUCUCUCCACUACCCAUCCCCUGCGGGCCUCCGUUGCUCUUGUGUGUGCAUGUGUGCGUGUGUCUCGCUGAUCUCUUCACCCGCUCCCUAGUCGAUGCUUUUCCUUUUUUUUUGGUGCUUUCCGUCUCUCUUGUCGGCCUCCCUCUCGGCGGCGGUCUGCGCUCAGCCCCUCUGCUCGCCGCCUCCCCAUUCCCUCUUCCCACUACCACCACCGUCCCUCUUCCGUGUCUGCUACGCGCACAUCGUCACGUUUUACGUUGUCUCGCCUCUGCAUAGGAGGGGCCUUUCUUCCGGUCUGUCUCUCUUUCCCUAGACCUGUGCGCUGCUGUUCACUAAGCGUGGGCGCAUGUGUGAGUGUGUGCUUGCGCGACCAAGGAUCUUGCAUCCCGCACGCAUGUAUACGCGCUGGAAGGACGUGGACUCUGCAUGAGCACGCACACGAGCACCAACGUCGGAUCUCGUGCAACCUUCACGCUCUCACCUCACUGGCUGUCGCUGCCGUAUUAUUGUUAUUUUUUCUUUUAUGUACUUCCGUGUGGUCGAGAGCGUCAGAGGUGACUGCUCCAGAUCGAGGUAGACGGAGAACACGCUCACAAGCCAAGCCAGCCAACCAUGAAGCCAUCACCGACAGAGGAAACAGCAGCGGCACGCACAAGGCAUGAAGGACAG